GAGAUCGGUUUGUAGGUCUAGACAACAGCCUCAGAGAAAAAGUUGUUUUUCUGUCAUAAUAUAGAUCUGGUUCCUGUCUCCUUAUCUGUCUUUAGGGAGACAAAGACAAAACCACAAAAGCAAAAUGACUCAGACUAAAAAUAUAUUUGCCAUACAAACUGAAUCGCACAGACCACAAGAUCUCAAACUGACACUUGGAUAUGUGUAGGUGAGCUUUUAGGUGCUUUUGAAUGAAAUGCCAAUCUCUGACAGCAGCAUUACUAAUACAUUGUGCCGUUCUGACUAAUAAAGGCUUACUAAAGACUCUUCCUCCAGGAGUGCAUGCCUGCAUACUCCAAGAAUAUUAAUCUAUUCAAAUGAUAAUCCAAAAUGUCUUAGAAUAUAUGAAUAAUAAUGUGACAACCCAAACUUAAGCACAGGGGGGGAGGGAUCUCAAAGGAGUUCACUCUGUUCCUCUCCUUCUCUCAUUCGACAAAAAUCAGAGUGAGAGAAAGUCAUUUGCGCUGCACUGUUAAUUUGUCAUACAUUCAUUGAUUACAGACAUACAAAGUUCUGUCAUGAAACUCUAGAUGGCGCAGGGUGAUAGGUCCUUAACACAAUCUGCUUGCAAUCACAUCAUUCUCUACAGGGCACAGCUGAUUGGUUCCUGCUGUAUCAGUAGCCAAUGAGCUCGCUGCUCAACCUUCAAAAACUGGUCAGCAUUUGCUGUAGCUGUUGCAGCGCGCUUUCAGAAACCCUCCACCUUCCCCAGCUCCACCUGUAUAGAUCAGCUACGGGGGCAGAAUGAUGUAACUCGUGAAGGCCUGAUGCUGUGUGAUCAGGAAACGUCCUCUAUAAACACACAGGACUUGAAGGUCCCAUUGACAUGGAAACGCCCUUUGGGAAGACGACACCUGUUUAUGUUGGACUCCAUCCUCCAAGCGAGCAGAGGAUAUGAAGUCCAGAGCAUGCACCAUGACUCAGUGCUUCUCUCAGCCAGAGAGAGGGAGUGAGCGAAUGAGAUGUCUGAUGAACCCACAAACCCAAACCACCAUUUACAGCAAUUAAAGUCUCUCCUUCUCCCUCUGGCUCAGCGGAAGAGAACCUAAAUGACCCACUACAGGAGGACACAGAUGGGGAAUGGCUGUACAUCACCUGCCUCCAUUUGGCCCUGCAAAAACCCAAGCAGCUGCAUCUGAGAUUAACUCCUAAUUCCUUCAUGUUGACAACAACUAUUUAAAAUUACAUUAUGCAACUCAUUCAAAGAUUUAAAUUAUGAAUUUUGCAUUUUUUGAUCCAAUCUGCUCUAAGUGGGUCUAUUAAAAAGAAAACUAGAAAAAGUACAAACCUAUCAGAUUACUGCAAAUGGUUCUUAACAGUAGAAAAUUUAAGAAAGGCCCUAGAGGAUGGCAGUAAGAAGGGCAUCUGAGACUUACACUAGUUGCUUCUCUGAUAUUAAGCCUAUUUACAUUGGCAUGCCUUAAAGGGUUAGUACACCCAAAAAUUAAAUUUCUGUCAUUAAUUACUCACCCUCAUUUCGUUCCAAACCCAUAAGACCUUCGUUCAUCUUCGGAACA